rnacentral:rRNA from 1 species
UACGUAGGGUGCGAGCGUUAAUCGGAAUUACUGGGCGUAAAGGGCGCGUAGGUGGCCUGUUAAGUCGAACGUGAAAUCCCCGGGCUCAACCCGGGAACUGCGUCCGAGACUGGCAGGCUCGAAUCCGGGAGAGGGAUGUGGAAUUCCAGGUGUAGCGGUGAAAUGCGUAGAUAUCUGGAGGAACACCGGUGGCGAAGGCGGCAUCCUGGACCGGUAUUGACGCUGAGGCGCGAAAGCCAGGGGAGCAAACGGG